rnacentral:rRNA from 1 species
UACGAAGGGGGCUAGCGUUGUUCGGGAUUACUGGGCGUAAAGCGCACGUAGGCGGAUAUUUAAGUCAGGGGUGAAAUCCCGCAGCUCAACUGCGGAACUGCCUUUGAUACUGGGUAUCUUGAGUAUGGAAGAGGUAAGUGGAAUUCCGAGUGUAGAGGUGAAAUUCGUAGAUAUUCGGAGGAACACCAGUGGCGAAGGCGGCUUACUGGUCCAUUACUGACGCCGAGGUGCGAAAGCGUGGCGAGCAAACAGG